rnacentral:rRNA from 1 species
UCUCGUUCUGCUUAGUUUGGUUUCGGGGGGUGCCAUCCUGCGCUGUUGUUGAUGAUGCUGCUCGCAUGGGAUUCAAUGGUGGGAGCCUGUGGCUUAAUUUGAAUCAACACGGGGAAACUUACCAGGACCAGAUGUUUUUUAUGACUGACAGGCUUCGGGUCUUUCAGGAUAUUGCUUUUGGUGGUGCAUGGCCGUUGGUGGUGCGUGGGUUGACCUGUCUAGCGUUGAUUCAGCUAACGAGCGAGAUUAUCGCCAAUUAUAUAGCUCGCAUUGGCUUCAGUGUUGAA